rnacentral:rRNA from 1 species
GACGUAGGGCGCAAGCGUUGUCCGGAUUUAUUGGGCGUAAAGAGCGUGUAGGCGGCCAUACAGGUCAGCUGUGAAAACUCGAGGCUCAACCUCGAGACGUCGGUUGAAACCGUAUGGCUAGAGUCCGGAAGAGGAGAGUGGAAUUCCCGGUGUAGCGGUGAAAUGCGCAGAUAUCGGGAAGAACACCCGUGGCGAAGGCGGCUCUCUGGGACGGUACUGACGCUGAGACGCGAAAGCGUGGGGAGCGAACAGG